rnacentral:rRNA from 1 species
ACGGGGUGCAGCAGGCGCGAAAACUUGUCAAUGCACGAAAGUGUGAACGGGCUACCCCGAGUGCCGUCCGCUGAGGAUGGCUUUUCUCUGCUGUAAGAAGGCGGAGGAAUAAGGAGAGGGCAAGUCUGGUGUCAGCCGCCGCGGUAAUACCAGCUCUCCGAGUGGUAGGGAUGAUUAUUGGGCCUAAAGCGUUCGUAGCCGGCCUUCCAAGUCUUUCGUUAAAUCCAGCGAUUCAAUCGUUGGACUGCGGGAGAUACUGUUAGGCUAGGGGGCGGGAGAAGCCGACGGUAUUUCUGGGGUAGGGGUAAAAUCCUAUAAUCCCAGGAAGACCACCAGUGGCGUAGGCGGUCGGCUAGCACGCGCUCGACGGUGAGGGACGAAAGCUGGGGGAGCAAACCGGAUUAGAUACCCGGGUAGUCCCAGCUGUAAACGAUGCGGGCUAGGUGUUGAAGCGGCUACGAGCCGCUUCAGUGCCGCAGGGAAGCCAUUAAGCCCGCCGCCUGGGGAGUACGGUCGCAAGGCUGAAACUUAAAGGAAUUGGCGGGGGAGCAC